AGUGAACGCUGGCGGUGGGCCUAACACAUGCAAGUCGAACGGCAGCACAGGAGAGCUUGCUCUCUGGGUGGCGAGUGGCGGACGGGUGAGGAAUACAUCGGAAUCUACUUUUUCGUGGGGGAUAACGUAGGGAAACUUACGCUAAUACCGCAUACGACCUACGGGUGAAAGCAGGGGAUCUUCGGACCUUGCGCGAUUGAAUGAGCCGAUGUCGGAUUAGCUAGUUGGCGGGGUAAAGGCCCACCAAGGCGACGAUCCGUAGUUGGUCUGAGAGGAUGAGCAGACACACUGGAACGGAGACACGGUCCAGACUCCUACGGGAGGCAGCAGUGGGGAAUAUUGGACAAUGGGCGCAAGCCUGAUCCAGCCAUACCGCGUGGGUGAAGAAGGCCUUCGGGUUGUAGAGCCCUUUUGUUGGGAAAGAAAUCCAGCUGGUUAAUACCCGGUUGGGAUGACGGUACCCAAAGAAUAAGCACCGGCUAACUUCGUGCCAGCCGCCGCCGUAA
rnacentral:rRNA from 1 species